ACCGUUGGGGUUUUUACGUAAUUAUUGUAUGGCCUUGCCUUACAAUAUAAAGCGCCUUGGGGCAACUGUUUGUUGUGAUUUGGCGCUAUAUAAAUAAAAUUGAUUGAUUGAUUGAUUGAUUACUAAAUAGAUUAUUGUCACCAUUGUACAGGCAAAAAUAUUAAAAGUGUCUAGUAGCACAGAGAGCAUACUUAACAACAUAAACAUAGACAGGUUUACCUCACUAAAUGUAAAUGGAAACUUUUUUAAACAACUGAUUUUCAGUUAACUGCUUACCUUAGCCUAGCCUUCUUCCCCCAGUGAUUUUACAGUUAGCCACAUUCCUUAGUGAGCCAUCCUCACCUAUGGUGCUAUUCUCUAAGUGAUUACAUGCUGUAUGCUAAUGCGGUGCUCAGCUAACUGCACAAUUGAUUCAGAUUUCUAUUUAGUGAGGUAAGCAUGUACAUAUUUCCCUCCACUGGGACAUUAUGUGUGCUCCAGGACACUUUCGGGACAUUUUCAGUAGUGUGAAGAAACCAUUUACUAAGAGUACUUUCAGCAUGUGCUAUGCAUGCCAUUACAUAAAUUAGCUGGUUAGCUCUUGAAUAUAUUUGGGUUCUAAAUCUGUACUGCGCCAGUUAAUGUUGUUUUUGUUCCAAGUGAAAAGAAGAUAACCCCCAAAAUGUCUAAAAAUAGUGACUAGGUGGUAAAAUCCCAGUGUUCUCCUUUACGUUAUGCAGCGGAGGCUGGGGCCACAACAGGAGGGUUGGUUUCCCCGACAGAAUCAGGUAUACGUUCACAGUUCUACAUACUACAGAGUGGUGAAAACUCAUUUAACUGGUUCUGUACCUUAAAGUGGUAAAGACAUUGAGCACAUUUGUACCUGUACUCACCUGAAUUUUGUCUGUAGAUGGCAAGCAACAUUUUUGAUAAAGUGACUGCGCAUUAAAAAGCACAUAUAACUAAGCCCUUUGCCAAUAAUCUGCAGUACUCAACAAUAUGACCAUAAUGUUUUUCCCCUUAUUGUUACAGGAGUAUUUUUUCAUAAAUCAGUGCCAUGUAUAGUUUUGUAAAAUGUAGGAAUUUUAUAGGAGUUGAGUUGAAGGUCAAAGAUCAGAUGUUGACCUGAGAGGACAGUAUGGUGAUUUUGAUGUCCUAAACUAUAUAAAUAUCCUUUUUCAAAAACAGCAUAAUGAAAAAGAAGUUAAAAUAAUCACCCGCCUUUCCUGGAUGCCACUAGCUACAGUUCAUUCUGUUGCACGAUUAAAAAUCAGUACCAGUGGCCACAAAAACAUUAAUAGCGAUGGCAGUCUGACAUUUGACCUUUACCCAUAGGUUGUCCUCUGGCUGACCUUGCCAGGGCAAUUCUGGGAUCCACCUAAGUGUGUUUCACCCAAAUUGGGUUGAAAGUCAAAUAUUGUAGAGAUUGUGAUGAAUGAAAGAGCCACAACUUUCCCAUUUUGACAACACAAUGGCGUGUCACUUUUUCCUCUUUAUUUCUCCAUUUCUCCUCACACAAUUAACAGACCUUUUAUACAGCUCAGCCCUGCCCAUUAAUGACACAGGGGUCCUGACAGGAGAGCAUCAAUAGGGCCAAGACCUUUGUAUACACGUCACACAAAUCAGCAUUUUGUCACAUGCGUAACAGGAAUAGAGACCUUUGAAUACAUAACAGGAAUAAACAUUGCCCAGACAGCUUUAUAUGCAUAGAAUGUUUCUCACCCACACAGGGGCCAAAACA